GACGAACGCUGGCGGCGUGCUUAACACAUGCAAGUCGAACGGCAAGGCCCUGCUUUUGUGGGGUGCUCGAGUGGCGAACGGGUGAGUAACACGUGAGUAACCUGCCCUUGACUUUGGGAUAACUUCAGGAAACUGGGGCUAAUACCGGAUAGGAGCUCCUGCUGCAUGGUGGGGGUUGGAAAGUUUCGGCGGUUGGGGAUGGACUCGCGGCUUAUCAGCUUGUUGGUGGGGUAGUGGCUUACCAAGGCUUUGACGGGUAGCCGGCCUGAGAGGGUGACCGGCCACAAUGGGACUGAGAGACGGCCCAGACUCCAACGGGAGGCAGGAGUGGGGAAUAUUGCACAAUGGGCGGAAGCCUGAUGCAGCAGCGCCGCGUGCGGGAUGACGGCCUGCGGGUUGUAAACCGCUUUCGCCUGUGACGAAGCGGGAGUGACGGUAAUGGGUAAAGAAGCACCGGCUAACUACGUG
rnacentral:rRNA from 1 species